UACGUAGGGUGCGAGCGUUGUCCGGAAUUAUUGGGCGUAAAGGGCUCGUAGGCGGUCUGUCGCGUCGAAAGUGAAAACCCAGGGCUUAACCCUGGGCCUGCUUCCGAUACGGGCAGACUAGAGGUAUGCAGGGGAGAACGGAAUUCCUGGUGUAGCGGGUGAAAUGCGCAGAUAUCAGGAGGAACACCAAUAGCGAAGGCAGCUCGCUGGGACGUUACUGACACUGAGGCGCGAAAGCGUGGGGAGCGAACAGG
rnacentral:rRNA from 1 species